AUUGAACGCUGGCGGCAUGCCUUACACAUGCAAGUCGAACGGCAGCGGACCUUCGGGUGCCGGCGAGUGGCGAACGGGUGAGUAAUAUAUCGGAACGUACCUUUCAGUGGGGGAUAACGUAGCGAAAGUUACGCUAAUACCGCAUAUUCUGUGAGCAGGAAAGCAGGGGAUCGCAAGACCUUGCGCUGAUUGAGCGGCCGAUAUCAGAUUAGCUAGUUGGUGAGGUAAAGGCUCACCAAGGCGACGAUCUGUAGCGGGUCUGAGAGGAUGAUCCGCCACACUGGAACUGAGACACGGUCCAGACUCCUACGGGAGGCAGCAGUGGGGAAUUUUGGACAAUGGGCGCAAGCCUGAUCCAGCCAUGCCGCGUGAGUGAAGAAGGCCUCGGUUGUUAAG
rnacentral:rRNA from 1 species